rnacentral:rRNA from 2 species
AACGUAGGACACAAGCGUUAUCCGGAGUUACUGGGCGUAAAGGGCGUGCAGGCGGUUUCUUAAGUCAGGCGUGAAACCAUUCGGCUAAACCGGGUGUAGUCGUCUGAGACUGGGAGACUAGAGUGUGGUAGAGGCGUGUAGAAUUCCGGGUGUAGUGGUGAAAUGCGUAGAUAUCCGGAGGAAUACCAGUGGCGAAGGCGGCACGCUGGGCCAUAACUGACGCUAAGACGCGAAAGCAUGGGUAGCGAACGGG